CAUAUGCUUGUCUCAAAGAUUAAGCCAUGCAUGUCUAAGUUCACACUGUUUCACGGUGAAACCGCGAAUGGCUCAUUAAAUCAGUCGAGGUUCCUUAGAUGACACGAUCCUACUUGGAUAACUGUGGCAAUUCUAGAGCUAAUACAUGCCUAUGAAGCUCCGACCCUCGUGGAAAGAGCGCUUUUAUUAGUUCAAAACCAAUCGCUAGUCGUCUUCGGGCGGCUGGUGUCCCCACUGGUGACUCUGGAUAACUUUGUGCUGAUCGCAUGGCCUUCGUGCCGGCGACACAUCUUUCAAAUGUCUGCCCUAUCAAAUGUCGAUGGUACGUGAUAUGCCUACCAUGUUUGUAACGGGUAACGGGGAAUCAGGGUUCGAUUCCGGAGAGGGAGCAUGAGAAACGGCUACCACAUCCAAGGAAGGCAGCAGGCGCGCAACUUACCCACUCCCGGCACGGGGAGGUAGUGACGAAAAAUAACAAUACGGGACUCUCUACGAGGCCCCGUAAUUGGAAUGAGUACACUUUAAACCCUUUAACGAGGAUCUAUUGGAGGGCAAGUCUGGUGCCAGCAGCCGCGGUAAUUCCAGCUCCAAUAGCGUAUAUUAAAGUUGUUGCAGUUAAAAAGCUCGUAGUUGGAUCUCAGGUGCAGGCGGACGGUCCGGCUCGCGCCGGUUCACUGUCCGUAUUUCCUGCCCUACUGGUUUGCCGGCUCUCUCCCGUGGGUGCUCUUCGCUGAGCGUCCCGGGUGGCCGGCGCGUUUACUUUGAAAAAAUUAGAGUGUUCAAAGCAGGCCUCGGCUGCCUGAAUAAUGGUGCAUGGAAUAAUGGAAUAGGACCUCGGUUCUAUUUUGUUGGUUUUCGGAACUGGAGGUAAUGAUUAACAGGGACAAACGGGGGCAUUCGUAUUGCGGCGUUAGAGGUGAAAUUCUUGGAUCGCCGCAAGACGAGCUACUGCGAAAGCAUUUGUCAAGAAUGUUUUCAUUAAUCAAGAACGAAAGUCA
rnacentral:rRNA from 1 species